rnacentral:rRNA from 2 species
GUCGUCAGCUCGUGUUGUGAAAUGUUGGGUUAAGUCCCGCAACGAGCGCAACCCUUAUCCUUUGUUGCCAGCGGUCCGGCCGGGAACUCAAAGGAGACUGCCAGUGAUAAACUGGAGGAAGGUGGGGAUGACGUCAAGUCAUCAUGGCCCUUACGACCAGGGCUACACACGUGCUACAAUGGCGCAUACAAAGAGAAGCGACCUCGCGAGAGCAAGCGGACCUCAUAAAGUGCGUCGUAGUCCGGAUUGGAGUCUGCAACUCGACUCCAUGAAGUCGGAAUCGCUAGUAAUCGUGGAUCAGAAUGCCACGGUGAAUACGUUCCCGGGCCUUGUACACACCGCCCGUCACACCAUGGGAGUGGGUUGCAAAAGAAGUAGGUAGCUUAACCUUCGGGAGGGCGCUUACCACUUUGUGAUUCAUGACUGGGGUGAAGUCGUAACAAGGUAACCGUAGGGGAACCUGCGGUUGGAUCAC